AAACGGCUCGGUGGUGAUUUGGCCGGUCUGAUUGCAGCCACCUAAAACAAGUUGCUAAAGGAACCGUAGGGAGCUGGCC
rnacentral:ncRNA from 2 species